CACCUCUCCACUACCUAUCAUGCAUCUGAUGAAAGGUCACAUGACCUGAAAAACGUCAUGCCGAGCGUUUCCAGAGUUUUAUUUCACUACGGAGACCAUGUAGACGUCUUAAUUUGGAUGAAAUAAAGCAGGGAUUUAUGUACAAAGGAACGAAAGGAAGACGGAUCCAGCUCUUUGUAGAUAAAAUCAACUUUAAUCCAUAGGACAAGGAAGGGUCUUCACUUCUCCCUUUGUGGCGGAAGAGGAGAGCAGAAAAGGAGAUGGUAGAGGAGGAGGAGGAAGAUGAUGGAGAGCAGCCAGGACCCUCCAAUCAGGAACCUGCUCAAGCCACACCACCUAAUGUGGUGGAAACUGUGGGGGUGGAGGCACAAGAGGAGCCACAUCCCCCCCC